rnacentral:rRNA from 1 species
UACAGAGGUCUCAAGCGUUGUUCGGAUUCAUUGGGCGUAAAGGGUGCGUAGGCGGCGCGGUAAGUCGGGUGUGAAAUCUUGGAGCUUAACUCCGAAACUGCAUUCGAUACUGCCGUGCUUGAGGACUGGAGAGGAGACUGGAAUUUACGGUGUAGCGGUGAAAUGCGUAGAUAUCGUAAGGAAGACCAGUGGCGAAGGCGGGUCUCUGGGCCGAUACUGACGCUGAGGAGCGAAAGCGUGGGGAGCAAACAGG